rnacentral:rRNA from 1 species
AUUGAACGCUGGCGGCAGGCCUAACACAUGCAAGUCGAGCGGAUGAAGGGAGCUUGCUCCUGGAUUCAGCGGCGGACGGGUGAGUAAUGCCUAGGAAUCUGCCUGGUAGUGGGGGAUAACGUCCGGAAACGGGCGCUAAUACCGCAUACGUCCUGAGGGAGAAAGUGGGGGAUCUUCGGACCUCACGCUAUCAGAUGAGCCUAGGUCGGAUUAGCUAGUUGGUGGGGUAACGGCCUACCAAGGCGACGAUCCGUAACUGGUCUGAGAGGAUGAUCAGUCACACGGGAACUGAGACACGGUCCAGACUCCUACGGGAGGCAGCAGUGGGGAAUAUUGGACAAUGGGCGAAAGCCUGAUCCAGCCAUGCCGCGUGUGUGAAGAAGGUCUUCGGAUUGUAAAGCACUUUAAGUUGGGAGGAAGGGCAGUAAGUUAAUACCUGGCUGUUUUGACGGUACCAACAGAAUAAGCACCGGCUAACUUCGUG